rnacentral:rRNA from 1 species
GACGAACGCUGGCGGCGUGCUUAACACAUGCAAGUCGAACGAUGAAGCCGGAGCUUGCUCCGGUGGAUUAGUGGCGAACGGGUGAGUAACACGUGAGCAAUCUGCCCAUGACUCUGGAAUAACUGCGGGAAACUGUAGCUAAUACCGGAUACGACACCUUGGGGCAUCCCAGGGUGUGGAAAGAAUUUCGGUCAAGGAUGAGCUCGCGGCCUAUCAGCUUGUUGGUGAGGUAAUGGCUCACCAAGGCGUCGACGGGUAGCCGGCCUGAGAGGGUGACCGGCCACACUGGGACUGAGACACGGCCCAGACUCCUACGGGAGGCAGCAGUGGGGAAUAUUGCACAAUGGGCGGAAGCCUGAUGUAGCAACGCCGCGUGAGGGAUGACGGCCUUCGGGUUGUAAACCUCUUUUAGCAGGGAAGAAGCGAAAGUGACGGUACCUGCAGAAAAAGCACCGGCUAACUACGUGCCAGCAGCCGCGGUAA